rnacentral:rRNA from 1 species
GACGAACGCUGGCGGCGUGCUUAACACAUGCAAGUCGAACGGAAAGGCCCUGCUUUUGUGGGGUGCUCGAGUGGCGAACGGGUGAGUAACACGUGAGUAACCUGCCCUUGACUUUGGGAUAACUUCAGGAAACUGGGGCUGAUACCGGAUAGGAGCUCCUGCUGCAUGGUGGGGGUUGGAAAUUUUCGGCGGUUGGGGAUGGACUCGCGGCUUAUCAGCUUGUUGGUGGGGUAGUGGCUUACCAAGGCUUUGACGGGUAGCCGGCCUGAGAGGGUGACCGGCCACAUUGGGACUGAGAUACGGCCCAGACUCCUACGGGAGGCAGCAGUGGGGAAUAUUGCACAAUGGGCGGAAGCCUGAUGCAGCAACGCCGCGUGCGGGAUGACGGCCUUCGGGUUGUAAACCGCUUUCGCCUGUGACGAAGCGUGAGUGACGGUAAUGGGUAAAGAAGCACCGGCUAACUACGUG